AAAAAGACAAACCUGGUUUUUGUGUCCAACGUUUGACCGUCCGUCUUAUUUGAAAAAGUUAUGAAAAAAAUAAAAAGACAAGUCACGCAUAAAAUAUUAAUCAUGUUUUAUAAUCUAACAACAAUAAAAAUACAAAUUAUAAAAAAAUUUCAUAUAAAACGGACAGUUAAAGUUGGACACGAAAAUCCAGAGUUUGCCUUUUU
rnacentral:pre_miRNA from 1 species